rnacentral:rRNA from 1 species
GACGAACGCUGGCGGCGCGCCUAACACAUGCAAGUCGAACGAGCGAUAGAGAGCUUGCUUUCUCGAGCGAGUGGCGAACGGGUGAGUAACGCGUGAGGAACCUGCCUCAAAGAGGGGGACAACAGUUGGAAACGACUGCUAAUACCGCAUAAGCCCACGGCUCGGCAUCGAGCAGGGGGAAAAGGAGCAAUCCGCUUUGAGAUGGCCUCGCGUCCGAUUAGCUAGUUGGUGAGGUAACGGCCCACCAAGGCAACGAUCGGUAGCCGGACUGAGAGGUUGAACGGCCACAGUGGGACUGAGACACGGCCCAGACUCCUACGGGAGGCAGCAGUGGGGAAUAUUGCACAAUGGGGGAAACCCUGAUGCAGCGACGCCGCGUGGAGGAAGAAGGUCUUCGGAUUGUAAACUCCUGUUGUUGGGGAAGAUAAUGACGGUACCCAACAAGGAAGUGACGGCUAACUACGUG